GACAGAGGGUGCAAACGUUGUUCGGAAUUACUGGGCGUAAAGCGCGUGUAGGCGGUCGUGCAAGUCGGGUGUGAAAGCCCUCGGCUCAACCGGGGAAGUGCACUCGAAACUGCAUGACUAGAGUCUCGGAGAGGAUAGUGGAAUUCUCGGUGUAGAGGUGAAAUUCGUAGAUAUCGAGAGGAACACCGGUGGCGAAGGCGGCUAUCUGGCCCGAUACUGACGCUGAGGCACGAAGGUCAGGGGAGCAAACGGG
rnacentral:rRNA from 1 species